GACGUAGGGCGCGAGCGUUGUCCGGAUUUAUUGGGCGUAAAGAGCUCGUAGGCGGCUCAUUGCGUCAACCGUGAAAACCUGCCGCUCAACGGUAGGCUUGCGGUUGAUACGGGUGGGCUGGAGUUCGGUAGGGGAGACUGGAAUUCCUGGUGUAGCGGUGAAAUGCGCAGAUAUCAGGAGGAACACCGGUGGCGAAGGCGGUCUCUGGCGAUUACCUGACGCUGAGGAGCGAAAGUGUGGGGAGCGAACAGG
rnacentral:rRNA from 1 species